GGGGGUGCACCGGUUUCGACUGGUACGGUUCGGGAUGCGGGCUGCAGGUGGAGAAGACGAAAGUCUGCGCCGAUCUCCUGAUUCGGCAACAAUUUAACUGCCGACAACGACAGUUACGCUCUCGCUGCGUAAGCAGCGGAACGCGGAAACCAAUCCCGCCGCCUUGAGGGGUUGUAUUUCCGUCGCAAUCAAGGCUGGUCAAGCCCCGUUUCCGGACGAGGUGCGACGAGAUUUUUCCGGAAUACGGAUGGGCCGUAUGCCGCGCAGCCAAGCCCGUCCCGACAAUAUAAGGCGCGGCUAAACCUGUAGAGGCUCGUAUUUCGCGUAUUAGGACGCGGGUUCAAUUCCCGCCACCUCCAGAU
rnacentral:tmRNA from 1 species